rnacentral:lncRNA from 10 species
AAGGAAGUAACCCACCAAAGUGAAAAAGAGGAACAAGUUCUAACCCAAUGCAGGUUUAAAACAUAACCAAAAGAACAAAAGAGAGAGCUUGACACACCAAUCUUGAGGUUAUCACGCUAUAAUAGAGAAUGGACUCAUUAAUAUGGGAUUACAGAGGAAGGAAUGGUUAAGAAAAAGACAUGGCCUCUGACUGCUCCAAAAAAGGAUAAGCAGGGCUUCACAGAAGAGGUGACAGAAAAGGAAGUGGAAUGGAAUAAAAUCCCCCAAUACAGUACAAUUAUACAUUAAUGGCUGUAAUGUGAAGAGCAUCACACACGAAGAGAGCCAUCUUCCAGAAAUAAGUUUAUACACUCUCUCCUCUAAUUGCAUCAGGACUUUACCAGAUAAUGUUCUUCCAGAUCUGAAAAGGAAAAUGCCUAAAAGAGCUUCCAAACUCAUUUUUGAAUAAUACUAGGCUACAAAGAAUUACACUGUGAAUUCAUUAAGGGUAACACCAAAUCACUAAACAGCACUGUUUGUACAGAAAUGUCGAAAAGCUGUGGAAAUAAUUUAGCGGCCAUUUCUGUAGGAAUUUCGCUUCUUUUACUCUUAGUGGUUUGUGGAAUUGGGUGUGUUUGGCACUGGAAACACCGUGUUGCCACACGAUUUACCUUACCGAGGUUUUUACAAAGGAGAAGCAGCAGGAGAAAAGUCUGUACUAAAACAUUCUUGGGCCCCCGCAUCAUUGGCUU